rnacentral:lncRNA from 1 species
CUUUUACUCCAUUUUAGAGGAAAAAAUGGAGUUUUACUCCAUUUUAGAAGAAAAAAUGGAGUUGGGACGGAGAUGCCUCAGUGGCAAUAGUAUUAUAAUACGCGUAGACAACGAGUAAUGUACCGAAAUUAGCUCAGUAAUCACAUUCACCAAACGAAAGAAGUGGGCCCCAUCAUUACAAAUACUUUAACCAAAUCAAACGGUGUAGAAAAGAGUUGUGUCCAUGAUCGUUACGGCCGGUGACUUCACACACCAUUUUAUUUUAUAUAGUUUGAUAUUCUGAAAUCUGUUAAUGAAUGUAAAUUUUGAUUCACAACGUCAUGCCAUCACAUAGUUCUGAAUAAGUUAAAACCUAAUCUUAUAACCUAGUCUUCUUAUAUUUAUCAAAAAGACAAUCAACUACAUAUACAUUAAUAUCUAUAAUUUUAAAUUCAAAAGGGCAAAGAACUAAUCUUGUUUAUUUCAUCUUUCCUUCUUAGCCUUUUUAACCCUUUCUUUCUUCGUUUAACACUUGAAUUUAAUUUUUUUUUUUAUACUAGAAAAUGAUUUGUGAAAACACUAACUAAAAUAGUGAAAAUCAGAGAUAUGAGACUGACCAGUAUAAAUUUUUUUAAUUUAAUUGGAAAUUAACAGAUAAUUAAUCUUUUCUUUCAGUAUGAUAUUGUGAAUAUUUAACUGUAAUAUAAACAUUCACCCGAGUACAGUAUUUUAAUAAGAAAAACCUAAGUCGAAGAAAAAUCAAUAAAACUAAAAUUUCACUAUCUAGUAAUUUUUAUUUAAUAUUCUAUUCAACUCUUAUAUAUACGUUAUU